UAAAAUGGCGAAUGUGCGUGACAGUGAUACUUCGUUGUGGCUUCACAAUAAACUCGGAAUUUCAAAUGAUUCUUGGACAGGAGGAUCAAUAUGUUCACAAUUAAAUGCUGAAGUAUUGAGAAAUAUAAAAGACUGUUUCCCAGAUUUACAAACUCAAGUUAAACUGAAAUUAUUACUCAGUUUUUUUCAUAUCCCGCGCAGAAAUUUGGAAGAGUGGAAGACAGAACUAGAACAAAUUUUGGAAGUAGCGUUAGGCGAUUCUGAAUUGUGGGUUGCCAUGUUAGCAGAUGCACUAAAAACCUACCCUUCUACUGGAUCUUUGAAUACAGAAAUAUCAGAUGUAGAUGAAGUUCGUCCUAUUUUUAAUGAUUUAGUGGCUGAUUUAAGGAGAUUAGUCCGUAAACAAAAUGACCACACUAUGUUACCCAUGGAAUGUCAUUAUUUAAAUAAGGGAGCUCUAGUUUCAGUUGUUGGACAUAAACCUGAACCAUUAAAACAUUUUACAAUAAAAAAGAAACCAAAAUCCGCGUUACUUAGGGCAGAUCUGCUGCAGAAAUCUAUGGAUGCAGCAUCAAAUAUGAAUAAAAAAUCUUGUGCACCUGUCAUACCAGUUCGAUCCAGAGGGAUGCCAAGAAAAAUGACAGAUACAACACCUCUGAAAGGAAUCCCAAGCAGAGUACCAACUUCAGGAUUUCGAUCUGCAUUGAACAGUAAUGCUAAUAGACCUCCGCUUUCUAGAGCACCUGCUGGAAGAAAGGAGGGUGGUGUUAAACUGUUAGAUAUUGCAGAUCAACCAUUAGGUUAUGCUGCAGCUAAAAAAAGAAAGAAAAUGCAAGAAAUUGAGGAUGCUGCUAAAAAAGCAACUGAAAAUGCAACAGUACAAAGUCCUCCACUUACAACAACUGUUGUUACAACUCCAGAUUAUGCCGCUGGUCUGGCUCCAACUCCAACUUACGCUCCAGCUACACCUCAACCCGUUGUAACUCCCUCAGCAGGAUCUUUGGUUACAACAUCUUUGAUAUCUCAACCAGUACAAACUCCUCCUAUACCAUCAACUCCAACCCCAGUUACACCUCAGAUUUCAACACCUGUUUCAGUUCCUAUACCUCAACCGGCAGUUGCUGUUACUCAACAGCUCAUUCAUACAAUGAGACCUGUUCCUCCGUUAUUGGCGACGACGCCUUCAGGCCAAAGAACUAUUAUUUCUUCUGAACCAACUGUCCAACAAGUGCAGCAACACGUGCAAACUCAACAUAUUAUUGGUACACCUGUUGUAGUUACACAAAGGCCAGUACAACAGCCCCAACAGACUGUUACACACAUUAGGAUUCAACCUCAACCUACAGCGACAGUUUUACAAAGAAGAGGUCUUGCUCUCACGAGAGAACAAAUGUUGGAAGCUCAAGAUAUGUUUCGUACAGCAAACAAAGUUACUCGGCCGGAAAAAGCGCUCAUUCUCGGUUUUAUGGCUGGCUCUAGAGACAAUCCGUGUCCUCAUCUCGGUAAUAUAGUUACUAUCAAACUUUCAGAAGAUCAAGAAAAUGUACUACAACCAGACGCUACUUAUCUUACCAUGCUGGUAGAGACUCACUUUCAGAUGAAUUACAACAACGGAGAAUGGAAGAAAAUAAAAAAAUAUCGACAUGUAGAGAAUGUUGUGGAACAGAUCACACCGAAUACAGCGACAGCUACUUUAGUUUGACAGAACGUCAAAGGAUAGUCGAGCAGAUAGAAAUUUUAUAGAUUUAUAUGAGUGUAAGGACGUAAUUGCUACUAGACGGACCGGGAGGCAGUAAGUAAUAUAAAAUAGAAGCAGAUAGCUUACAAUUUGAAAAGAAAGAUUACAGAAAAUCUUGAGGUUUGACAGAAGACUAUUGAUAUUAUACGGGGACAUCAUUUAAUUAAAUUAAACUUUGUUCAAUAUUAUAUUUCCAAAUAUUUACAGAUAUUGGCAAAAGUUCAAUUCAAUUUCAAAACCAUUUAUUAUGUUACUAUACUUUUCAAUUUUUUGAGAGUAGUUCAAAUGUACCAGUAACCUUUUUAUGUAUCAGUUGGGAAACUAAAUUGAACUUUGACUUUUUAUUUUCAAUGAAUCAUUUAAAACGUUAACUAUCUCGGUAUCUGCAUUUUUCAGGAGUAGUUCAAAUAUACCAGGAUCUAUUAGCUGUGAAAAUAAGUUGAAAACAAUGAAAUUUUCAUUGGUGUUGAACUUUAUAUAGAAUUUUUGGAUACCCGUUAGAAUUUAAUUUGAUUUUCAUCUUUUUUUUUAUUAAAAUUGAACUUUGUUCUAGAAUCCUGGACUAUCUGUUGAGAUUUGGUUCAAUUUUUGAUUCUUCUUUUAAAAAUCCAAUUAUAACAUUAAUUAUCAUGGUAUCUGCAUUUUCUGGGAGUAGUUCAAAUGUACCAGCUUCUAUUGUACAUAACUAUUGUGAAAAGAAGAUGGAAAUACUGAUACCUUCAAUCAAAUUGAACUUAAUUUUAGAAUAUUUUGCAGUAUUUUUAUAAAUUUAACAAAAAAUUUCAUAAUUAUCAUGUAUCUCAAACUGAUUAGUUAGAAUGAAGUUGAAAAUCAUGAAAUAUUGAUAUUCUGUAGAUUUCAAACAAAAUUCUUUGAUUGAAAAUCUAAAGUUUCUAGGAGUAGUUCAAAUGCACAUAACUAUUGUGAAAAUAAAAUGACAAUAUUGAUAUCUUAAAUCAAAUUCAAUUUGUUUCGAUUAGGUAUCUGCAAUUGGAGUAGUUCAAAUGUACCAGUUUCUAUUGAACAUAAUGGUUGUGAAAAGAAGUUGAAAUACUUUUAUUAUGAAUAGUUACUUGAUAUGAAAGUUAUAAACUCAAGGUUUGAACAUAAAUAACUUUCAAUUACAACAAAUAUGGACUAAACUUUUUUAUUAUUAUUAAACUUAACGUAAUAGUUGCAUUCGAAUGUGGCAAGAUUUUUGAUCUCAUCAUUUACAGAUAAAACAAGAAGUCUUUUUUAGAAUUCUAAUAAUUUUAUUACAACGUUUAAUAAGUAAUACAAAGGAAAAGCUAAUUUUCAUUUGUAGGGCUUCAAAAAUCUCGUUGGCACUAAUUAUUUUUUGUCAUUUUACCUUCUUAUUGGCAGGUAGGGAAAAUAAAUAAAUUCAAUAAAUGUCAAUUAUGCUCAUCGGGGCUUAGCUAGUGCCUACACUAGAUAAGUGACCCUCCGGAUGAGUAGCUUAGUCAGGAUUUUGAAAUUUGAGGCGUCCGUUAGAUAUUUUAGGGCUCCUCAUACUCUCAGUACCAUUAAUAAUUAAUAACAAAAUCUCUGUUUAAACUAUUAGCGUUUAUUUUGACAUUUUCGCAGGUUAGUACCAUAUGCAGCUUCAUCCAGCACAUUAUUCGGUGUGACAUCGAUCAAAGCAAGACCGUUUAAAAGUGUCUCACUUGUGUUUCACCUAUAGCAGUCGUUACUGGAAAAUAUUUUGAGUAAUUGUGGACUGCUGGUGGAAUAGUUUUUUCACAGCAAUACAUUUUUGGCAUACUUGGUACCAAGUCGUUUCACUUUCUUCUCGUUCUCUUCAGAUACUGUCAAUUCAUCUUUUGUCAGAUGAAUCCAUUUCAACUAUGCUUGGAACAUUUAGAAGGCUGCAGGUCCACACUAGAGGAACCCUACUCAAACCGAUUAAGACAGAAGGUUGUCUACUCAGACGUUGUUGUCCUGAUUAUAGGAAAUAAAGCUUAGAAAGGAUUUCUGGACAUACAAUGAAGAAUCCAAACUAGAGGACUGCUCUGGAGAUACAGGAGAGGGUAGAAGCUCGAAAUAAGGCUUAUUUCACUACUUAAAACAUGCUGAAACUCCGCAUACUUUGCAGGUGCACAAAAGAGAGGAUCUACCGUGCAAUACUGAGUCCAAAAGAAGGCCUCAGACUACCAGGACGACGAAGAACAGGACCUAAUAGAACUAAGCAUUGAGAAUAUCGAAAAGAAUGGAGGAAAAUUGUCCGGAAAGUCAAGGAUCUUCAAGGACUUCUGGUUUCCAUAUUGCACCUUAGAACUCAUUUUCUGCAUAAUCUUCCAAUAAUCAAUUAUCAAAAAAUAUAAUCAAUUAUAUAAAAUAAUCGUUUAUUUUCGAUUAAUUGAAAAUAAUUAUGUAUAUAAACAAUUAUGCAUUUUUGAGAAUGAAAAUGGGCAAGAAAUUUUCUACAAACUGAGGUGUCUCCAGUUCCAGAUUUAUUGAAGUAAUGCCAAAGUCAGCUUAUUCCUCUAUUUUCUUCCAUAUUCCUAAAAAAACAUAAUUCGGGCAAAAAAUGCUGCAUCUGCAUCCCAUUCACAUUAUUUUUAUUGCCGACUGCAAGAAUAAACUUUAAAAUAGCCGCCCUCAAAUACUUUGACAGUACUAUAAUAUACAGAGUUCGGCAACAGUCGGGUCCCGGACAUUUGCCGAACUCUGUAUAAUCAAAGAUUAUAGUAAAUGUAAUUAACUUGUUAAAAAAGUAAAACUGUUUGUAUAAAUGAUCAUCUGUAACACAAACUAGAAAAUAAUUGGCACACAAACCUGGAUCCUCUUCAAUGGAAUUAGUAAUAAUCAUAAUAACAAAUUAGUAAUUUGGUUAUGCUUAGAAACUUACCUUGAUUUUUUCUUUGCACACUUUAGACAAUCAAUCAGAAAGCACAGUGAUGAUAGGUUAGGUCGAAUUAAAAAACCAAACGUUAUGUGAAAUAUCAAAACUCUUUUCUAAUAAAGCAAUGGUCUAAUAUUUUAUGUCCUGUGAUCCAAAAAAAAUGCAGCAGCAAAACUAUCUAUGCGACACUAGACCGCAAAGGUUUCAAUAAAAUAAAAAAACUUAGAAAAACGCGGGCCGCUGGACACUAUCUAACAUCAAAGAAACUAAUGAUAUUUUUUAUUUUUUUUAAGGUAAAUGCCAUUUGUGAAGAGCUUUUUAAGAAUAAUUUUUGUACCUAGUCAACUAAAUAAGUUUAAAUGUUAGAUAUACCUAAUUAUCAAUAUGUAGGUAUUUGUAUUUGGUUAAAGCGAUUAAUUAAAAGGGGGUGUGCUCUUACUUAAUUUUAUGUAAUUGAUUAGUAUAAUCAAUAAUUGUGAUCCAUUUAAUACAAUUUGUCCCAAAGAGAUCGAAAACUCGAAAGAAAUAUUUCUUGAUUACGACAGCUAUAAAGUUGAAAAAUAACAUUGUGAUUUGAUUCCCAUCAAAAUAAAACUAAACAAUAGAAAUAUUUCUUAUUAUUAAUUUCUCAGAGAGAGUAUUUAAUAGGUAAGUUUCUGUAAAGAAAAAAAAAGAAGUUGUCGAUGUCAAGUUUUGGAUCCAGUAUACCUACAGAACCACAAAAAAGUACAAAAGUGUGAAAAUUAUGGAAAAGAAUCAAUUUUCGAUAAAUUGAUUAUUUUCGAUUAAUCGCUUAACAAUUUUUCGUACAAUCGUUAAAAUAAUCAAUUUAACUAUUAAAAAAUUUAUUUCCUGAAUAAUUAUUUCGACAUAAUUCAAUAUCAGAAUCUUACUUCCAAAUACCUCCUGUAGGUUCAUUAUUUGGUUUGUUUUUAUUGGGAAUCGAACCAUAAUCGUUCUUUCGAAGCUCUAUUUUCGAUUUAUCGAUUAUUUUAUAUAAUCGAUUAUAUUUUUUGAUAAUUGCCCAGCACUACAAAAGCGUAUCCCAUUGCAUUUACAAAUUCCGAAUUGAUACAUCGAGGUUUAAAAUGAGUAUACUGCAUCAUACAAUUCCAUAAAAUCAGAGAUACAGUUAUGACUUUUAAGCCAUCUUGUAGGUUAUGUCCAAUAUUUAGUGAUUCGCCCUCGUAGUUUAUUCAAACACAGUCCACUUCUGGUUGCCUAAUAGUAGGCGACCAAGAAUCACUGAGGACACUCGCGAGAUGGCAGGAGGGAAAAAUACGUCGAGAACAAACACACAUUUUUUUUUUCUAACAAAACAAACGUCGAAUCACUACAACCACCACACUGUAAUUUACAGGCAAUACACUUUGAACCUCGUCUUGUUACUUUUUGUUCAAUGGUGAUCUUGGAAGUUGUCUUUUUGAAGUUUUUAUUCUUCUAUUUUUUGCCAAUUUCCUGUAUUGCAUAUACGUAAAACGCCCUUGAUAAAACUUGUUGCGGCCAUUUUAACUUCUGCUAUUAAAGUCUCGUGGUAAAUUUGUUUUGACUGGUUGUAUGUUGAUUUUGUUUACAUCCUCAAAAUUUUGGGAAAUUUUUAUAUUAUUUUUGAAAUGAAUAUAAAAGGAAAACUUUACGUUCAUUUAAAUAUUCAGCAGUACAUCGCAGUUAAUUUUUAUGUCUACAUUAAUGGCCGUCGAUAUUCCAAUGUUGCCAAAUCCUUUAAAAAAACCAAUUAUUUGAUGAUUAAUGAAAUAUGGUUGAUAACUAUGUACCUACCAAUAAGAAAAUAUAUUUAUAUUUGGUAUAUUUUAUAUCAAAAAUUUAUUCGACCGAUUUUUUCUAAUUUUUUCAUAAAAUCUGCCAGGUGUACGUAUUUUAAAUAUAAUACUUUUUUUGAAAAUUGUAUAUGAAUUGUGUAUAUAAUGAUUGGAAAAUUUUUUUAAAAUAUUUUCGCGAUAUAUCGCAAUAUUUGUAUAUUGAAAUAUUUGAAAUUAAGUUAAAUUUUGUACAUAACAGAAAUUCUUUAUUAUAUUUAUUGUUUUGUCAUUUCAUACGAAUGUCAUUGUAGAAUUUCUUGUGUUCGAUUUUAUUGUUAAUUUUGUCAAGACACUUUGUAUAUAUUGUUGAAGAAUUAUAUUAAAAAUCUAAUAUUUUUAAAA